AGCGCAGGCGGGAAGGUAAGUCUAUCUUAAAAGUGCGGGGCUCAACCCCGUGAGGGGAUAGAAACUAUUUUUCUUGAGUGCAGGAGAGGAAAGCGGAAUUCCUAGUGUAGCGGUGAAAUGCGUAGAUAUUAGGAGGAACGCCAGUGGCGAAGGCGGCUUUCUGGACUGUAACUGACGCUGAGGCUCGAAAGCCAGGGGAGCGAACG
rnacentral:rRNA from 1 species